rnacentral:rRNA from 1 species
AUUGAACGCUGGCGGCAUGCCUUACACAUGCAAGUCGAACGGUAACAGGUCUUCGGAUGCUGACGAGUGGCGAACGGGUGAGUAAUACAUCGGAACGUGCCCGAGAGUGGGGGAUAACGAGGCGAAAGCUUUGCUAAUACCGCAUACGAUCUCAGGAUGAAAGCAGGGGACCGCAAGGCCUUGCGCUCACGGAGCGGCCGAUGGCAGAUUAGGUAGUUGGUGGGAUAAAAGCUUACCAAGCCGACGAUCCGUAGCUGGUCUGAGAGGACGACCAGCCACACUGGGACUGAGACACGGCCCAGACUCCAACGGGAGGCAGCAGUGGGGAAUUUUGGGCAAUGGGCGCAAGCCUGAUCCAGCCAUGCCGCGUGCAGGAUGAAGGCCUUCGGGUUGUAAACUGCUUUUGUACGGAACGAAAAGACUCUGGUUAAUACCUGGGGUCCAUGACGGUACCGUAAGAAUAAGCACCGGCUAACUACGUGCCAGCCGCCGCAGUAAGAC